rnacentral:sRNA from 1 species
AUUGAUUAUACCAACAUUGGAACAUUUGAUUUAAAGACCAACAGUAUCUUUGAUGUGGCCAUAGACAGAAAUGAUUUUUAUAUAGGAGUCAUUGAGAAUACCUCCCACAAUGAUACAGAAUCGGAGG